GAUGAACGCUGGCGGCGUGCCUAAUACAUGCAAGUCGAGCGAAUGGAUUAAGAGCUUGCUCUUAUGAAGUUAGCGGCGGACGGGUGAGUAACACGUGGGUAACCUGCCCAUAAGACUGGGAUAGCUCCGGGAAACCGGGGCUAAUACCGGAUAACAUUUUGAACCGCAUGGUUCGAAAUUGAAAGGCGGCUUCGGCUGUCACUUAUGGAUGGACCCGCGUCGCAUUAGCUAGUUGGUGAGGUAACGGCUCACCAAGGCAACGAUGCGUAGCCGACCUGAGAGGGUGAGCGGCCACACUGGGACUGAGACACGGCCCAGACUCCUACGGGAGGCAGCAGUAGGGAAUCGUCCGCAAUGGACGAAAGUCUGACGGAGCAACGCCGCGUGAGUGAUGAAGGCUUUCGGGUCGUAAAACUCUGUUGUUAGGGAAGAACAAGUGCUAGUUGAGUAAGCUGGCACCUUGACGGUACCUAACCAGAAAGCCACGGCUAACUACGUGCCAGCCGCCGCCGUAA
rnacentral:rRNA from 1 species